AAGCACAUAAAAUAAUGUUGACUGGUCGAUUUGAACCCUUCGGCUACCCUUGUCCAGAUUCAGUGCUUCCGACAGCACGUCCCGCGGUAAGGAGCAGUACACAGCCGGUACGGUCUUCAUGUUCGGACGGGUGAUUCUCAUGGACUGUUCCGGGCCAAUUGGAGGCUAUGUCACCAGACAGCCUUAAGAGUCUUGCCUUAGAAAGAUUUGGCUGCUCAAAGUUCAUGAACUGAUCGAAGUGUCGGAUCAGUUCAUCAGAACGAUCGUCGGCCCGGCCUAAACGACUUACGAGAGAGAGGCCACGGUCGGAUUCGGAUUCUACUCUACCAACUUCAGUUUUGGCUUGACCGAUGGACUUAGCAUGGCGAACAGGACGGGAGAGGCGAGCUUCAGUACGGUUGAUUUGGUCAUCUGGUCACGGGUUAUGCUGAAGCUCCAAUCCGGACGUGUGCGGGUCGAGUCGGUACACGGCCCGAUCAGUCUGUCUUGUCAAAUCGAUGGACUGAACCUCAGUUGCAUUGUUCCGGACGUUCUGAACCUCGUUUUGAUCUGAUUCCAUGGACUGAUCCUCGGACUGGGGCACAUCAUUCCCUCCUUCUUCAAAAGGAUUUGACCACAAAUCCGGAUCAUCGACAAGAAACAGGGAAAGAUCAGAAACGUUAAAGCUCGAAGAAAUGUCAUACUUACCUUGAAGAUCAAGUUGAUAAGCAUUGUCAUUGAUCUUUUUAAGGAUCUGGAAUGGACCAUCGACCCGAGGCAUAAGUUUGGACUUUCUUUCUUCCGGGAAUCGCUCCUUUCUCAAGGGAACCCAAACAAGAUCACCUUCUUUGAAAAUAACCUCCUUUCUUUUCUGAUUGGCAUAACUUUUAUAGAUCUCGGUCUUGGCCUCAAUGUUUGCACGAACUUGUUCAUGUAGUUUCUUGAUAGUGGCCGCCUUCCUUUCGCCAUCAGUACUAACUCUUUCACUCAAAGGCAAAGGUAAAAGAUCAAGUGGGCACAAAGGAUUAAACCCAUAAAUAACUUCAAAAGGAGAAAACUUACUAGCAGAAUGCAUUGCAUGAUUAUAAGCAAAUUCAACAUGUGGUAAGCAUUCUUCCCAAAGUCUAAGAUUCUUUUUAACCAAAGAUCUAAGCAGGGCAGACAAGAUUCGAUUAACAACUUCAGUUUGACCAUCAGUUUGUGGAUGACAAGUUGUAGAAAACAUCAAUCUCGUUCCUAGCUUAGACCAUAAAGUUUUCCAAAAAUAACUAAGGAACUUAGCAUCACGAUCAUAUACAAUGGUCUUAGGCAUUCCAUGUAAUCUAACAAUUUCUCUAAAGAACAGAUUAGCAACUUGUAUGGCAUCAUCAGUUUUAUGGCAAGGAAUAAAAUGAGCCAUUUUCGAAAAUCUGUCUACCACAACAAAGAUUGAAUCUCGUCCAGACUUAGACCUUGGCAAUCCAAACACGAAAUCCAUAGAAAUGUCUACCCAAGGAUGAGAAGGAAUAGGAAGUGCAGAAUACAAACCGUGAUUUGAAGCUUUGGAUUUAGACUUCUUGCACACCACACAUCGGCCAUAGAUCCGUUCCACACCUUUCAUCAAGCUUGGCCAAUAGAAGUGAUCAUGAACCGCCUUGUAAGUUUUCUUAACACCAAAGUGUCCCAUAAAACCUCCUCCAUGAGCUUCCCUGGGAAAUAAUUCCCUCAAAGAACAUUGGGGCACACACAAGCGGUUAUCACAGAAUAGGAAUCCCGAGUUUUGAAAAUACUCUCCAUAAGCAACCUUGAAACAUUUUCGAAAAACCUCUUUGAAAUCUUGAUCAGAUGCAUACAAAUCUUUGAUAAACUCAAAACCAAGUAAUUUUGUUUCAAGGGUCGAGAGAAGAGUAUACCUUCUACACAAGGCAUCAGCCACGACAUUCUCCUUACCUUGCUUGUAUUUGAUCACAUAAGGGAACGUCUCAAUGAACUCCACCCAACAAGCAUGCCUCUUGUUUAGCUUUUGCUGGCCCUUAAGGUGUUUCAGGGAUUGGUGGUCGGUAUGGAUGAUGAACUCCUUCGGCCAAAGAUAGUGCUGCCAUGUUUGAAGAGCCCUCACCAAUGCGUAAAGCUCUUGGUCAUAGGUGGGAUAGUUGAGCGUAGCUCCUCCAAGCUUUUCACUGAAAUAGGCAAUGGGUGUUUGGUCCUGCAUCAACACAGCACCAAUACCAACUCCGGAGGCAUCACAUUCAAUUUCAAAAGCAUUAGAAAAAUCAGGAAGUACAAGUAAAGGAACUUGAGUCAACUUCCCUUUGAGAAUUUGAAAUGCCUCUUCUUGAACUUGUUCCCAUUUGAACCCAACGUUCUUCUUGAUCACCUCCGUAAGUGGGGCUGCUAUGGUACUGAAGUUCGGAACAAAACGUCUAUAGAACCCGGCCAGGCCAUGGAAGCUUCUCACCUCGCCCACGGUAGUUGGACUCGGCCAGUCUCGAAUGGCCUUGAUCUUUUCCUCGUCCACUCGAAGUCCAACUGCACCUACAACAAAACCUAGAAAGACCACAUGAUCUGUGCCAAAAGAACACUUUCCAAGGUUAGCAAAUAGGCGUUCCUUCCUAAGGACCUCAAGAACGGAUUUUAGAUGCAUUUGGUGUUCAUCAAGGUUUUUGCUGUAAACAAGAAUAUCAUCAAAGUAAACAACAACAAAGUGACCAAUGAACGAUCUUAAGACAUGAUUCAUUAGACGCAUAAAAGUACUAGGUGCAUUUGUGAGACCAAAGGGCAUAACAAGCCACUCAUACAAACCUAGUUUUGUUUUAAAAGCGGUUUUCCAUUCAUCACCUUCUUUCAUCCUAAUCUGAUGGUAGCCACUUUUCAAAUCAAUUUUAGAAAAGACUCUAGAACCAUGAAGUUCAUCAAGCAUAUCGUCAAGACGAGGGAUAGGAUGUCGAUACUUGACCGUGAUGUUAUUAAUGGUCCGACAGUCCACACACAUCCUCCAUGAGCCAUCCUUCUUUGGUACGAGCAAGACAGGCACGACACAAGGGCUAAGGCUUUCUCUGAUAUAACCUUUCUCAAGUAGUUCACCAAUUUGUUUCUCAAGCUCCUUGGUCUCGACCGGAUUGGUGCGGUACGCUGGUCGGUUAGGUAGAGACGCGCCCGGGACGAAGUCGAUCUGAUGCCCAAUGCCUCUUACUGGUGGCAAUCCUUUAGGAUUCUCAUCUGGAAACACAUCAGAAUACUCCUGCAAAACAUCUAGAAGUUCACUCGGAAUCUCCGGUGCAAAGUCAGAGGAAGAAGAAACCAUAAGAGAUUCUUUAUACACAAGUAAAAGAAAUGGCUUUUGAGAGCAAAGAGACUUCCUGAUCUGACCUUCUUUGAUAAAGAAGUUAGAGUUUCUGGUAGACGUUUCAGGCUUGUCCUUCUUAGGUUCCUGGUCUCGACCAUUCUUAAGUUGGACUUGAUCUUGAUGAACCUCCAAAGGAGUUAAGGGAACCAAAGUGAUUUUCUUUCCCUUGUGAUCAAAAGAGUGUCGGUUUGUAAAACCAUCAUGCACAGCCUUCUUAUCAAAUUGCCAAGGCCGGCCCAAAAGAAUGUGGCAUGCAUCCAUGGGCAGAACGUUGCAAACAACCUCGUCCUCAUAUCGGCCAAUGGUAAGGGGGACGGUCACUUGUUCCUUUACGUAUUGUUCUCCAGAUUCAUUGAGCCACUCCAACCUGAAAGGACGAGAAAGAGGCCGAGUAACAAGCCCAAGUUUCUUUACAAGGGUGUCACUAGCCACAUUAGUGCAACUACCUCCAUCUAUGAUCAAAGAACAAACUUUUUCUGAAAUGAGACAUCUAGAAUGAAAGAGAUUCUCCCUUUGUUCUUUGUCGUUGAUCUUUGGUUGCACACUCAAGGAUCUUAUAGUAACCAACAGUGGACCAUGAGCCGGACAUUCAAGGCUGUCCUCAUCAAAGAUCGGACCAGAAUCUUCUAGAAAGGUCGAGCAGAACUCGUCAAUCACGCCAUCGACCUCUUGGUCGAAAAUGGGGCCAUAGGCAUCGUCCAUUGGUUUUCUAGCAACAAGGAGAGGGCCAUGAGCUGGGUAAUCAAGUGUCUCAUCUUCAUCAAAGACUGGUCCAAGAUCCUCCUUUUCAUCUUCGGAUUCUACUUCUCCGUUCUCCAAAAGAACCAUCACCUUUUGGUUUGGACACCGAUUAGCAUAGUGGCCAAGGCCAUGACAUCUGAAGCACUGAAUGUCUCGGGUUCGUUUUGAAGUUUCCACAUUCUUUUCUCUAUCAACAUGAGCAGGGGCAUUAGUCUUAAAAGCAUUAUUUGUUGUGGUCGAAGACUUACCCUUAUCUUGAUAGUUGGCUUUGGAUGUAAAAGAGGGUUUGGGAGCAAAGGACGGUUUAGAGAUGCCCUUUCUUUUGACUUGCUGUUCGAUCAGAAUAGUCUUGUGUAACAUCUGCUCCAUGUUGUCGUACUCUUGAAGCUCCAUACGAUCUUGGAUGUCACGGUUGAGACCGGUGAGAAACCUAGCCAUGGUGGCGUCUAGGGGUUCAUUCACAUCUGCCUUGAUCAUGAGGAUCUCCAUCUCUUGGUGAUAUUCCUCAACUGACUUGGUUCCUUGCAGCAAACAUCUCAAUUUGUGUUGGAGAUCGCGGUGAUAGUGAUCAGGAACAAAGCGUCUCCUCAUGAUCAUGGUGAGCUCGGCCCAAGUAUCAACUGGUCUUUCAUCUGCUCUCCUCCUGUGAGUCACAACUUGAUCAUACCAAUUAAUAGCAGAGCCAGAGAAUUCAGAAGCCACAAGCCUAACCUUUCUAAGAUCAUUAAAAUUUUGACAAUCGAAAACAAGUUCAAUUUUUCUUUCCCAUUCUAGAAAAGCAUCCAGGUCAUUCUUGCCCUCAAAACUUGGAAUUUUCAAUUUCAAUCCACCCAAACCAUUAUCAGCUCGAUCAUUUCUAGCAAAUGGAUUGACAUCACCUUGGUUUUGGUUUCUAGGUCCUCUCCUAGGCCGGUUGAUGGAUCGGUCGUCCUCAUCUUCGGACUCCUCCUCUUGGAUGUCAUGGUCGGAUCGGCUGCGUCUCCUUGGUCGAUCGCGCCUGGCUCCGGUUUGAGAUCAAGUUGACCGGUUGAUUUGAAGCUCAUCAAGUCUCUGAUGGAUCUGUUUCAAACCUGUAUUCAACAAGUUAGUCAUAGAAUCAUUCAAAUCUCUCAUUUGCAAGUUAGACAAGCCGGCCAUAGAGUUUCCGGGACGGUUCAUUUCUUCUCCACUACUGAUGGUUUUCCUGAAAAUCUUAAACACAGAGAGUUAGAUAAAACCUCACACUCUCAGGUGUUUAACUUUGCCCACACACGUGUUUCACUCAAUUUGGUAUUCACACAAAAGUGUUUCCCUUAAAGUUCUAAGAGAACAAACUAGAUAACCCAAAAAUGAGAAUCCCAAGUGAACCACCCAAAGAACAAGAUAGAGAGAUAAGAGAUUUAACAAGGGAAAUCUGUAUUAACCACCUCCAAGGCCGGAUUUCUCCUCGGCCAGCAGGCUUACUCUUCCACCACCAAACCACAAUCGAAAUCUAUAUAUAUAUAUAUAUAUAUUUUUUUUUAUUUUUUUUUUGAUUAGAUCUUUUUUUUUAAAUAUGGAUGGUAAAGAGGGGCCCGGAUUUAAGAUAGAUAGAAGAAGUAUUUUUAUGAAGAAAAUGGUAGAUGAGAAAGAUGGAAUGAAAGGAGAUACCGGAAGAGUGGCUCUGAUACCACUUUAAGAACCCUAAGGAACAAACACUCAACCGGAUAUGAUGAUAUGAACUCGAUCUAAAUAGAUAGAGAACUGAUGGAUUGUUUAGUGACACAAAGGGCUGCGGAAGACCCAUGAUACUACCAGAAGUUUCAAUGGCCGCUUGAUUUGACACACAAGUCCGGCUCAAAGAAAGGGAUUCACUUGGAGAUAACCUCACCAAGAGAACAAGGAUGUUCUAAGCAAAGAACAAAGAGAGAAAACUCAAAAAGGAAUAAGGAAAAUCGAUUGCUUUAUUUCAUGGAUGUGUUCUCAUACUUAUACAACUUGUAGUCAAAGAUACUAAAUAGAAAUGUAUGAAAAAGAGACAUAGAAAAUAGAUAGAAGACCAGAUCUAGUCAAAGCACAGAAAAUAAUGUUGACUGGUCGAUUUGAACCCUUCGGCUACCCUUGUCCAGAUUCAGUGCAUCCGACAGCACGUCCCGCGGUAAGGAGCAGUACACAGCCGGUACGGUCUUCAUGUUCGGACGGGUGAUUCUCAUGGACUGUUCCGGGCCAAUUGGAGGCUAUGUCAUCAGACAGCCUUAAGAGUCUUGCCUUAGAAAGAUUUGGCUGCUCAAAGUUCAUGAACUGAUCGAAGUUUCGGAUCACUUCAUCAGAACGAUCGUCGGCUCGGCCUAAACGACUUAAGAGAGAGAGGCCACGGUCGGAUUCGGAUUCUACUCUACCAACUUCAGUUUUGGCUUGACCGAUGGACUUAGCAUGGCGAACAGGAGGGGAAAGGCGAGCUUCAGUACGGUUGAUUUGGUCAUCUGGUCGCGGGUUAUGCUGAAGCUCCAAUCCGGACGUGUGCGGGUCGAGUCGGUACACGGCCCGAUCAGUCUGUCCUGUCCGAUCGAUGGACUGAACCUCAGUUGCAUUGUUCCGGACGUUCUGAACCUCAUUCUGAUCUUAUUCCAUGGACUGAUCCUCGGACUGGGGCACAUCACUUUUGUUGAUGAUAAACAGUCCCUUAAGGAUUUUCAGAUAUCUGAGAGAAGCAUCCUCUGACUGGAAGAGAUGACAACCGGUUGACUACAGAAUCUGAAGAGAUGACAGAAUGUUGAUAUCUCUCGAUAUGGUUGCACUUAUUACGGGAGAAAAAUAUUGAGGAGAAUUAGAAUGUAGAGUAAAGGAUUUUAAGUGCGACUAAUGGGGUGGUGGGUGCUGUUAAUCUGCUAAAAUCGAUGCUGGGUCGAGGUGAACUAUGAUAUACGUUGAUGAUUACAAAUAUGGUGAAGAGAACCUCCAUUUUCUUUUCUGAUAGAGGAGCAAACAAUGAAAGAAAUGAGGAAUAAGAUCAGAAAUCACAUGUUCAUGCUUUUGAUCGUUUGAUGGAUAUGAGGUUAGCAAACUG